AUACGAAGGGCCCGAGCGUUGCGCGGAAUCACUGGGCUUAAAGCGUACGUAGGCGGACAUGCAGGCAUCUUGUGAAAUCCCUCGGCUCAACCGAGGAACUGCAGGGUGAACCGCAUGUCUUGAGGUGAGUAGGGGCUGUCGGAACGAUAGGUGGAGCGGUGAAAUGCGUUGAUAUCUAUCGGAACGCCAAAGGCGAAGGCAGACAGCUGGGCUUAUUCUGACGCUGAGGUACGAAAGCGUGGGGAGCGAACGGGAUUAGAAACCCCUGUAGUCC
rnacentral:rRNA from 1 species